rnacentral:miRNA from 1 species
UAUUUCAGGCGUUAUACUGGUGA